rnacentral:tRNA from 1 species
GCUAUGGCUCAGUGGUAGAGCAUCUGCUUGGUAUGCAAAAGGUCUCAAGUUCUGCCCCUGGCAUCUGCA